rnacentral:misc_RNA from 1 species
GUUGUUGAGUGAAGAAACUCAACUAAAAAUGAAAGCUUGAGUGAUGUUGGGUUCAUGAAGUCUAACAAAUCCAAACGCCUUGUUCGUUUUUGUGGAAUGAAGAUAUCUCUGAUAGACCACAUCUUGGAGAACAAUCGCCAAAAAUAUUCAGUAUCCCAAUUAGAUGGGAAGUUCUUAAAGUAUACAGAUGAUGGUUGGCUAGUUUUUGGUAGAGGGAGGAGGGGAGGGAGAGUGUUUGGGCUCAUGGUGAAGCUUUUUUAUUCAGCAUAGCAACAACAAUAUGAUUUCUUAUUCGUUCAGUUAUAAAUUGAUUGAUAUUCAAAGUAAUGAAAAAUAUUUCUGUUCCUUUUAUAUAUUCUUCAUUUUUCCAAAAUUGGAAUGAAAUUAAAUAUUGAUGUUAAUUAGAAGGGGGGAUAAAUUGAGAGAAGGGAGAU